rnacentral:rRNA from 1 species
AUGCAGUCGAACGAGAACAGAAGAGAGCUUGCUCUCUUGCUGCUAAGUGGCGCACGGGUGAGUAAUAUAUAGGUAAUAUGCCUCUUACUAAGGGAUAAUUGUUGGAAACGACUUGUAAUACCUUAUAUGCCUUUUGAACAUAAGUUCGUAAAGGGAAAGAUUUAUCGGUAAGAGAUUAGCCUGUACGGUAUCAGAUAGUUGGUGGGGUAAUGGCCUACCAAGUCUAUGACACCUAACUGGUUUGAGAGGAUGAUCAGUCACACUGGAACUGAGACACGGUCCAGACUCCUACGGGAGGCAGCAGUGGGGAAUAUUGCACAAUGGACGAAAGUCUGAUGCAGCAACGCCGCGUGGAGGAUGACACAUUUCGGUGCGUAAACUCCUUUUAUAUGAGAAGAUAAUGACGGUAUCAUAUGAAUAAGCACCGGCUAACUCCGUGCCAGCAGCCGCGGUAAUACGGGGGGUGCAAGCGUUACUCGGAAUCACUGGGCGUAAAGAGCAUGUAGGCGGGUGAAUAAGUUGGAAGUGAAAUCCUAUAGCUUAACUAUAGAACUGCUUCCAAAACUGUUCACCUAGAGUAUGGGAGAGGUAGAUGGAAUUUCUGGUGUAGGGGUAAAAUCCGUAGAGAUCAGAAGGAAUACCGAUUGCGAAGGCGAUCUACUGGAACAUUACUGACGCUCANAUGCGAAAGCGUGGGGAGCAAACAGGAUUAGAUACCCUGGUAGUCCACGCCCUAAACGAUGUACACUA